GAAAGAGGGGGAACCCCUGCUCCGCACGCCGCGUGAGCGAAGAAGGCCUCCGGGCCGUAAAGCCCUCUUGUCAGGGAAGAAACACCGGCUCUAACACAGUCCGGGAAUGACGGUACCUGAAGAAUAAGCACCGGCUAACUACGUGCCAGCAGCCGCGGUAAUACGUAGGGUGCAAGCGUUAAUCGGAAUCACUGGGCGUAAAGCGUGCGCAGGCGGUUAUACAAGACAGGCGUGAAAUCCCCGGGCUUAACCUGGGAAUGGCGCCUGUGACUGUAUAGCUAGAGUGUGUCAGAGGGGGGUAGAAUUCCACGUGUAGCAGUGAAAUGCGUAGAUAUGUGGAGGAAUACCAAUGGCGAAGGCAGCCCCCUGGGAUAACACUGACGCUCAUGCACGAAA
rnacentral:rRNA from 1 species